GGCGGCAUCACCGGUAGUGGUGGCAAUGCCACUGUGAGCACAGGAGGAGCAGGGCAGUGGUCACUGCAGGGGCAGCAAUGUCACCGGGAGGAGCAGGGCAGCGGUCACUGCCUGGUCACACACAGGUCAGGCAGACCUACCACAGGUUUCUCUCCACACCUUUACUGAUAGAUAGAUAUUUUUUUAAGAAAUAAAAGGUAGCUGCUGCUUGGAGCUUUCCAUGGCGUUCAUCUAAUAAAUAAAUUAACCUGUGCCCUUCCUGUUACUCGAGCUGCUACACUGGGCCGGCUCGGGAGGAGCCGUGCCCGGGAUGGAUCCCGGCUCGGGAGGAGCCGUGCCCGGGAUGGAUCCCGGCUCGGGAGGAGCCGUGCCCGGGAUGGAUCCCGGCUCGGGAGGAGCUGUGCCCGGGAUGGAUCCCGGCUCGGGAGGAGCUGUGCCCGGGAUGGAUCCCGGCUCGGGAGGAGCUGUGCCCGGGAUGGAUCCCGGCUCGGGAGGAGCUGUCCCUGGGCUGGUUUCCCUGCUGGCACCGGCUCCAGCCUCUCCCCGGCUGCCCUGGCACUCCCUGGGCAAUCCCUGCGGCUCUCCCGGGCGGGCAGGUCGGGCUCUUGCCGGAGGGAGCUGGCAGUGCCAUCCCUGCUGGAGGUGCCCCUGGCAGUGCCAUCCCUGCUGGAGGUGCCCCUGGCAGUGCCUCUGGACAGUGGCAAGGCUGGGAUUUUCACAGGAGCCCGGCAGGGUUUGAGCAUCUGGAUUCCUCCUGGCAAACCUGGGUGGUGCCACUGCUCUGGGAGCUGCAAGGAGCUUCCUCCACAGAGGAACAUCCUCUCAGUUCAGCUUCUUUUUCAUGAAAAACCCCCAAACGUCACUGCUGAAGGCAGUGCUCUUUGGUGGUUUUUUCUUACUGGUGAGCAGAACCCCUGUCUGGAUCCUCAUGUCGCCCUCCCAUUGCACCAGCUGUUGAGAUGCACUAUGCUUGAUUGCAGAUUGUGUUCUAACGUUUAUUUUGUUGUUGGUUUUUUGGGUUUUUUUGGUAUACAGUUGUUGCCUUUAUUUGUAAAAUCCUGUUAUAAAUAUAUAUAUAUUAUAUAAAUAUAUUAAAAGUUAAAAGGUUUCAGAUGUCUAUUAUUUGUAUAACUACUUGAGCAUAAAGAAGUGAGAAAUAUGAAUGUAUUCUUGUUUCUGGGUUGUCUUUUUUUUUUUUUUUUUAAGAGAAGAAUAUUCCGUUUUUCUCUCGGGAGAGGUACAGUGUUUAUAUUUUGGAGCCGCCUUCAAGGUGGGAUAUUGUACAUAUUUUUAUCUUGAGUAAAUGUUAAGUAGCUGUUUAAAAAUGCUUAAUAAAAUAAUUCUUUUCCUGUGGAA